AACGUUUCGUCGUCCCAUUCCUUGUGUCUCGGCCUCUUCCUCCCGGUCCUCUUCCGCGCUCCUGCCUGCAACCAUUGGCCGCCGCUGCUCCGCGCCCCCGCCUGCCUGCAAACCCGACGCUCGUCGCCCGCCAGCUCCACAGAUCGACCCUCGGCCUCGCCACCACGGAUCAACGCUCGGACUCCGACCAGGUCGUGCAGCCGCCGGGCCCCCGAGAUCCGGCCGUCGUUGCCCCAACCACCGCGCCAUCUGCAGAGGCACCAGCUCCAUGGAGCUCGUCGUACCCCACGAGAAGGAGAUCCGCCUGUUCCGUCCUAGGGUAUCGGCUAAGGAAGGCCCGUCCUUAGCAGGCCGGCCCAUCGAAAGUGGGCUUUCGGCCCAGCCAAACGACGCAGGAGCAGCCCCGAACCUUUCCUGCUUCGAUCGGCAUGGUGGAGUCGCGGUGGGAAGUAGGAUCGAAGGAGUCCUUGUCUUGUUCUGCGGGGAUCACGUUGGCUCCCGCCUCCGCUCCUUCUUCUUCCCCGCAGCCGGCCGCCGCCACCGCGCCCACCGUGGAAUCAGAGGCGCGACAACUGGAAGCAAUGCCUCGGGAAACUAAGAGGGUGGCGGUUGACACACGAGGAUUGAGCAGGGAGCAAAGAGCCAAGGAAAUAAGCAUCAAACGCGGCCGCUGCCCAUCCCCCCUUACUUGCCGCAGAAGAAGAGCCGAUAGGCACAUGGAAUGGGUCUUGGCUAGUACAGUCAAACUUGUCCACAUAAAGAGGGCGGAAAAAGCUGAAUAUGAGAGGAAAUUCGGUGGCAAUCUUAAGCCUCGAGUUGUUCCCGUGG